ACUAAUGAUGAACUACUCCCGGCUGAGGGGUGAUGAACCACCUACCGGCUGAGG
rnacentral:ncRNA from 14 species